UACGAAGGGGCUAGCGUUGCUCGGAAUCACUGGGCGUAAAGGGUGCGUAGGCGGGUUUUUAAGUCAGGGUGAAAUCCUGGAGCUCAACUCCAGAACUGCCUUUGAUACUGAGGAUCUUGAGUUCGGGAGAGGUGAGUGGAACUGCGAGUGUAGAGGUGAAAUUCGUAGAUAUUCGCAAGAACACCAGUGGCGAAGGCGGCUCACUGGCCCGAUACUGACGCUGAGGCACGAAAGCGUGGGGAGCAAACAGGG
rnacentral:rRNA from 1 species